CGGGAAUCCACCUCGCGGGUGAGGACUUUAAGAAGCACGGGGCGGGAGAGUCAGAAAAAGGUUUUGAGCAGGAAAAUUACGCUAUAGAAGUGUAUACACUGCCCUACAGCAGAAAGACCAGGGACUGGACCAGCCUCCGGACGACUUCAAACCCAAAAGGAAGCAACUCCCGGACUCUUACGGGGACAUCUCAAUUUGCUCUAUGUGAAUGAAGACAAGCGAGAAUUUCCAGGACAGCCCCUCAACUCUCUGUGGAUCACAGGCUGAGCUCAGCCCUCAGAAAUGGAGGACACAGAGCUUCGAUGCUCAAUGCUGCGCACAG
rnacentral:lncRNA from 1 species